CAACGCCUCACCGAAGCCUCGCUGCAGCUCUCCGUUUAUUUUUUCAGUUAGCAGAAAUGACCGAGGAAGGAACAUUUCAGAAAAGCUUCUUAUGUGACACACUGGGAAAAUAAGCAUUCACACGCUGCCAAGACUGGAAGGUUGAGCCUGUAGAGAACUGGACUGCUGGGGAGGUCACAGAUUUAUGAUCUGACAUCAGUUCUGUCGUGGGUUACCUCCUAGUGAAGAGAAAAGUGCUCCAAUCCUCUGAUAAUCUUCAUGGCUCACCUCUGGGCCCGCUCCAACAGCUCCACAUCUCUUCUGUGCUGGAGGCCCCCACCUCUGGGCCCGCUCCAACAGCUCCACAUCUCUUCUGUGCUGGAGGCCCCCACCUCUGGGCCUGCUCCAACAGCUCCACAUCUCUUCUGUGCUGGAGGCCCCAGACCUGGAUGCAGUACUCCAGAUGAGUCCUCAUGAGGACGGAACAGAGGAGGACAAUCACCUCCCUCUCCCUGCUGGCCACCCCUAUUUUGACACAGCCCAGGAUACUGUUGGCUUUCCAGGCUACAAGAACACACUACUGGUUUGUGUUGAGCUUUUCAUCCACCAGCACCUCCAAGUCCUUUUCCUCAAGGCUGCUCUCAGUGGGCACACAGAUAUGUGAUCAACACCGGAAUGGUAAAGACUCUGGCACUUUGCACUUCUGUUCUUGUUGCUGCCCUUAGCUUGUUUGUCUACUUGGACCACAGACUGUGCAAGUGAGGGACUUAGUCCAACAUGCGUUGGAAGAACAAAAUGUGGUGAAAGCUGAGUACUGGGAAUUUGCAAGUAGCAGUGAAGGCUGGGAACUGGAAACUUGCCGGUCACUGUUGAAAGUCGGUGAUCUGAUGAUCACUGAAGCUAAGGGCUAUCAAGAGCAUGGAAUGGCAACUGGAGAAUGAAUAGGAAGGAUCCCUUGCUUAUGUUAUGCCUGACACUGAGGAACUAAUGGAAUGCUGGGUCGUAUGACAGUACCUACAGUAUGUCAUUGUAAAAAAAAAAAAUGUUUACCAAAAAAAAAAAAAAAUCCAUUAAAAUGAUUCAAACGUUGUGUGAUGAAAAAGGUAAAGAAUUACCCUGCUUAUUUUAUAGAAAAGGUAAAGAAUGGGCUUGGUCAGUCAGUCUAGAAGUGCGUAGGUGUGGAGAAGACACUUGCUAGCAGUAAUUUGUUCAACCUGGCAAAUGUACAGCAAGAGCCAAAGGCUUGCUGAACAAAAGCAG
ensembl:lncRNA